rnacentral:rRNA from 1 species
UACGGGGGGGGCAAGCGUUGUUCGGAAUUACUGGGCGUAAAGGGCUCGUAGGUGGCCAACUAAGUCAGACGUGAAAUCCCUCGGCUUAACCGGGGAACUGCGUCUGAUACUGGAUGGCUUGAGAUUGGGAGAGGGAUGCGGAAUUCCAGGUGUAGCGGUGAAAUGCGCAGAUAUCAGGAGGAAUACCGGUGGCGAAGGCGGCAUCCUGGACCGGCAUUGACGCUGAGGAGCGAAAGCCAGGGGAGCAAACGGG